GAAAGCAAUUCUGAUACCGCUACGUUUGCAAACGACAACACGUUAACACAAAGUAACAGAGAAAACGCAGUACAACACUGUCGUCCAGAUAGAAACCGCAUGAACUCAGAAAAACCCUAAUUAAAAUUGAAAUCAAAGAAGCAAGCAAGUGAAAAACUAAAUCCCAUCCCAACUCGGCGAUUAAUUGAAAUGUACGGCUCCGAUAAAGUCUCCGAUGACGCCGAGAGAACAGCAUUCCGUAGAGCUGAGAAGCAAUACAAACUUUACUACGAUCAAGAUUCCAAAUCAGCUAAGAAGAAAAAGAGACCCAAACCGGUGGAUUUAUCGGAGGUUUUAGAUUUCAAGUUAAUUUUAGAUUCUUUCAAGCUGAAUGGUGAACUUCCUGAUGGAAUUAUUGCAUUUCAAGGCAAUUUUGAUCGUCCCGUCUUCUGCUUGGAAAGUCGCCCCGGUUUCUAUUUUAUCAGUGGAGCACUGAGCGUCGAAGAACAAUGCAUGUGGAUAAGAGAGAGUUUGACAAAUUUUCCGCAGCCUGCAAAUAGAACAAAUCAUAAUGCUAUAUAUGGUCCUAUACAUGAUUUAUUUACAUCCGCGAAAGAGGGUAAAGUACUUAUAGAGGAUGAGAAUACACCUCCCGGCUUGGAUUCUGGGUGUAAUAACGAUGCCCGUAGAUGGACGUUUUGUGAGGAAGAUGUUGCUUCACUGAGAGGAAAGACAUGUAAAUCUGUUUCAGCCUCAUCGUUAUUGAGAAAGUUGCGAUGGAGUACCCUCGGCCUUCAAUUUGACUGGUCCAAGCGGAAUUAUAAUGUACAUCUCCCACAUAAUAAGAUCCCUGAUGCACUUUGUCAGCUGGCUAAAAAGUUGGCUGUUCCUGCAAUGCCUAUUGGAGAAGAGUUUCAUCCAGAAGCUGCGAUAGUAAAUUAUUUUGGAUCAGGUGAUGCGCUUGGGGGUCACCUGGAUGAUAUGGAAGCAGACUGGAGCAAACCUAUUGUAAGCAUGAGUUUGGGCUGCAAGGCUAUUUUCCUUUUGGGAGGAAGAAGUAGGGAGGAUCCACCAUUUGCAAUGUUUCUUCGAAGUGGUGAUGUAGUGCUCAUGGCUGGAGAAGCAAGGGAAUGCUUUCAUGGUGUGCCUCGGAUCUUUAUUGACGAAGAAAAAUCUGAAAUAACGCCUCUUGAAAUGCAUUUCUCACAAGACAAAGAUUUCUUGGAAUAUGCUAGAACUUCAAGGAUCAACAUCAAUAUCAGACAAGUUUUCUGAGUUCUUUUAUUCCCUUUUCAACCGAAUUUUGAAAUCUCGGUUAGUAUUCAAUUGAAGAGCUCCUCACAGGGGAUGGAUUUAUUGGUGGAAAAUUUACAGUUGUUGAAGAUCUCUAAAUACAACGAAGAUUAUACGAAUUACCAGUAAAUUCGAAGAAAAGGUGGAGGGCAUUUACCCCAUUGAAUUGAAACUAUACUGCCAACAAUCUUUACGAAUAUCAUCUUGAACUGGUUAUAGAGAUGGUCCAUGCGUAAAUUACCGAUGUGUAUAAAUUUUGUCCAAGCACACCAAGGCACCCCAAAAUAAGAUCUAUUUUUGUCCAAGUACACAUGCAAAGUCAACAUCCAAUCAUACUCCAAAGAGGGAAAAUAAAAUUAAUUUUCUUUCUCAUUAGACACAAUUUUCACUCAGUUAUUAAAAAUUUCAAUUCUCCGUUGAUUUUAUGCGUUUAGA